GUGCUUGCUUUGGCAGCACAUAUAGUAAAAUUGGAAUGGUAGAGAGAAGAUUAGCAUGGCCCCUGCGCAAGGAUGACACACCCACUGGAAGAGAAAACCCAACAACAA